UCUUGAUUUAGCGGCGGACGGGUGAGUAAUGCCUAGGAAUCUGCCUGGUAGUGGGGGAUAACGUCCGGAAACGGGCGCUAAUACCGCAUACGUCCUACGGGAGAAAGCAGGGGACCUUCGGGCCUUGCGCUAUCAGAUGAGCCUAGGUCGGAUUAGCUAGUUGGUGAGGUAAUGGCUCACCAAGGCGACGAUCCGUAACUGGUCUGAGAGGAUGAUCAGUCACACUGGAACUGAGACACGGUCCAGACUCCUACGGGAGGCAGCAGUGGGGAAUAUUGGACAAUGGGCGAAAGCCUGAUCCAGCCAUGCCGCGUGUGUGAAGAAGGUCUUCGGAUUGUAAAGCACUUUAAGUUGGGAGGAAGGGUUGUAGAUUAAUACUCUACAAUUUUGACGUUACCGACAGAAUAAGCACCGGCUAACUUCGUGCCAUCAGCCGCGGUAAUACGAAGGGUGCAAGCGUUAAUCGGAAUUACUGGGCGUAAAGCGCGCGUAGGUGGUUCGUUAAGUUGGAUGUGAAAGCCCCGGGCUCAACCUGGGAACUGCAUCCAAAACUGGCGAGCUAGAGUACGGUAGAGGGUGGUGGAA
rnacentral:rRNA from 1 species